UACGGGGGGGGCAAGCGUUGUUCGGAAUUACUGGGCGUAAAGGGGACGUAGGCGGCCAACUAAGUCCGACGUGAAAUCCCCAGGCUUAACCUUGGAACUGCGUCGGAUACUGGAUGGCUUGAAUUCGGGAGAGGGAUGCAGAAUUCCAGGUGUAGCGGUGAAAUGCGUAGAUAUCUGGAGGAAUACCGGUGGCGAAGGCGGCAUCCUGGACCGACAUUGACGCUGAAGGCCGAAAGCUAGGGGAGCAAACGGG
rnacentral:rRNA from 1 species